rnacentral:lncRNA from 1 species
UUGUUAUCCAUCUGACAAUCCAUGGUUGCCUUGAGACCAGGAGCCUAUCUGUAAGUCGAUACAUUAGGAUAGAAAUGAUUAGAAAAAUUUGCUUUCUUUUCUUUCAUGCCCCAUUCUGCCUUUUCCCAUUGGGUCUCUUAAACAAGAUUAUUAAUAAACUGUCUUGAAAUUGGGAGCUGGAGUCUGAUGUGUGUUUGUGACACCUUAUAAGAGAGUAUAUUCCCCCUUACCCUGUGGCUCAGGCUCUUUGAUCCCAUGCUACACAUUCAUGUCUAGGGAGAAUUGGAGGGGAACCAGCUAGCCUGCUCCCUAUGAGGGAUAAGCAUGGGCUGGAUGUUCCCCCAUCUCCCUAUCUAAUAUUAAUCACUUGUAGCACUGAGAAUCACUCCCAGCUCAAAUUUAAAGGAGUACAGGGUCUGGUGAUAGCAUACCUCAGUUUGGGUGCUUUUGAGUGCUUUGCUACAAGUACUAAUUUCCAUAACAUAGACAUUAGCCUUGAGAUUUUAGCCUUUAUUUUGCAAGACUUCUUUUUCCUCCUGAAAGGUAAUAUAAUUUAAAAUAGGAGUGACUGGAAAUCGUGCUAGCUCCUAACAUUCACAUGAGGGAACAUUUUGCAGGUGGGUUUCUUUUAUUUUUAAAAGACAUAUUAAUCACAUCUGAACCCUGCCCUUCUUUCAAGAAGCACAGGGUGGCUUAAAAUUUUAUACUCUCAGAUCUGUUAGGGACAUCUCAAGAGCACCUGAUGAUCUUUAAGACUGUUUAACAGAAAUAUCUUUGAGUAAAAGGUAAAGGUAAAGGUACCCCUGACAGUUAAGUCCCGUCGCGAAUGACUCUGGGGUUGCGGUGCUCAUCUUGCUUUGCACGCCGAGGGAGCCAGCGUUUGUCCACUUCUGCAGACGGUUUUUCCAGGUCAUAUGGCCAGCAUGACUAAGCCACUUCUGGUGAAGCCAGAGCAGCACAUGGAAAUGCCGUUUACCUUCCCGCUGGAACGGUACCUAUUAAUCUACUUGCACUUUGACGUGCUUUCGAACAACUGCUAGGUUGGCAGGAGCUGGGACCGAGCAACGGGAGCUCACCCCGUCACGGGGCCUCGAACCGAUUGGCAAGUCCAAGCGGCACAGCGGUUUAAACCACAGCCACCCGCAUCCCCAUCUUUGAGUAGUUUAACCCAAAUAUCUUUGAUCCAAGGCCAUCAAUCAGUUUGCCAUAGAACACUGGUUAAUUCAAUAAUCUGGAACCUAUAGCCCUCCAGAUGUUGUUCGUCUGCAGCUCCCAUGAGCCUCAGCCAGUAUGGCCAAUGGUCAGGGAUGUUGAAAUUGUGGAACUUCAUCUGGAAGUGCCACAAGGUCCCAGUCUCUGGAUUAAAGUCAUCUACCAAUAAGCACUUUUCAGGCCUAAAACAUGGGGAAGCUGGAAGCAAGUGUCAAAUCUCUUUUUGUUAACUAGCAUGGAUUUAUUUAUCUUCAGGGUUGCUUCUUCUCCUUUCAUCUUGAUGGCCCUCUCCUUGUUCUUCCUGAAACGCUGACUUAGCAACUGGAUAUCAUAAGUAAUGGUCAGAACUCUAGAGUGUAUGGGGGUCACCUGAACCAGAGGUACUGAAUAUUUGCAGAUACAUUUCAAACAACUAAGCUUCUCAGUACGGGAUGUUUGCAUGCCAUGAG